GACUACAAUUCUUUUAGUCAAAAUUGCACUCGGAAUCAUCUGCUUACCUAUACUCACUGAAUAAAAAUUUCAAACAAAUGGUGCCUGAGUACCUGGAGCGUGUAUUUUUAAAGUUAUCAACUAAUUUCAAAAGAAUCGUCAAAAUACCCAUACAUAGCAUCAGUACAACUCACACGAAUCAUUCCAGGCUGCGUGUGGGGUGGAAACGUUUGGUGUUUCCUUCCAUUGACAGCCAAAGUCAAUCCGUUGUUGAUUCGUACAAUGCAUUUCAUUAAGGGGCUAGGGAGGGGAAUAAGGAUAGCUUUACGUUUUUAUCCAAAUGAGAAGUGAAACCGUUUGAUAAUUGGUACUAUUCUUAACAAAUAAUGAAUCGAUGCAUUGACUAGCAGUAGUUUCUCCUAGGUAAUCUGUCGGAAAUUGCAAAGGUUACUUAUUAGGGAAAUCUGAUUCAGGAAACCUGAAAUAUUUUCACAUUUCAGUCUAAGUUGAGGGGUUAAAUUAUCUGACCAUUCCAUCAGGGGCACCAUUUGUACGAAUAUGGUACGAAUCGCUAAACGUUUGUGUCUGAUAUCAGUCAAGUCUCCAAAUCGACUACUGUUUUCACUUCUUGUUUGCACGGAUGGUGUAGAUCGUGAAGCUGCUUGGAGAAAUCUUGCCCGUUUAUGUAAAAUGGAGAAAGAUGAUUGACCUUGAUUGACAGCAGGAAAAGAUACGCAUAAGCUUAAGUCAGACACACGUAGGUUGAAAAUGUCGUUUCUAGAGCCUAGACCUCAAUAACAUUUGGUCACCUGGUGCGCUAAACCCAGAAGUACCUCUGGUGACGAGAACGAGUCUUCCUGCGAAACCAUUCAUAUGAAAAUGUGUUCCCCAACAGGUUAAAUUUCAUGCAAAUCAACUCAUUUUCAUAUGAAAGGUUUUGCUCGAAGACUCGUUUUGAAACAGAGACACAAGGUAAAUUGGAAUGUUCCGUGUGGCCCGGUCAGGGGAUCUACUAACUGUAAGCAUAUUAGACAAGCUAACGCCAUGGCUUCUCAUGUCGUUAAUUCACCGCACACGCACGUACCAUGUCAUCGGGCAACCAUCCACCCAUAAAAAGUUUCCUUUUAACUGAAACCACAAUAUAGUGAGCCAGAUACUAUGAUGAGUUUUAUUACAAAUGUGAUAUCCGGAAGUACACAGGAUUUUAGUUAGCCUUGAGAAUACUUUCAUCUCUUACACAAUAUGUUGAUAACAAAAAAGCUUGAAGAUUAAGCAUUUGCGUACACAGAUGACAAGCACGUAGCCGUUUAAUAGGGCUGAAGGAACAAAUAUGACGCAAGGUUCUGUUGCUUUCAUGGAACUGCUUCCAAAAUAUUUCCUACAAUCAGCCUGCACACUAACAUACGCUCUCCCAUGCCGAGAAUAGGACAGGAAUUUGUAAUUUACUUAGAAUUUUGGUUGCGCAUAGUUGAUAAUGACCAGCAUGAGGAACAGAGACGAAGACGAACUGUUAACGUCUUUAGUUGAAGAUUUGUUCUUGUUUUGCGGAGUAAGCAAAUAGAAUGGUGUCCGUAGUAAAAUUCAUAAAAAUUUGUUUUGGUGGUGUACGAUGGUGUACGAUGUAGGAUUGAAGGUUCAGCUUCGCCUCCCUGCCCACUCCUCACUUUCUAGCUAUUUCCCAGUGAUCUUUGCGAGUGCAGUUCGUCUCCGCCAUUUUGGAACGUGUGCAGGAAAAGUAACGGUAAAUUGACUUUACCGUAAUUUCAAAGGAGAUGGAAUGUGAAGACGUGUGUGUUGACAACUUGUGAGGACCGUCCCUGGACGACGAUCAGAUGCUAUCAGUGACAAAGUGGACCAAGGCAUAAAGUAGUUAUCUUUAGAAGGGGUGCAUGAUUUGUUUUGCAAUCCAACUUUUGGGUGAACCAGGUAAACAAACUCUUAAAUAAGCCAAGUUCAACAUUUGUAAAUUGAAUGCAGUCAUGCAAUCUAUUCUGCCAUAGUUGACCUGUACAUGAAUAGACUGAAGUGCUCUCUUUUUUUAACGAUACUGUUUUGAAUUAAUUGUCAAUCAAAUAAUUCUUAAAAUAUUCUGUAGCCAUGUUCAAAAGUCUUACUCAGCAACAGACUAGUUAACUAACUGAAUGAUCAAUCGCCUGAUUGAUUGACUGACUGAUUGACACACUGUUGGAUGGUCUAAUUGACUGACCAAGUGACGGGCUGAUAGACAGAGGAAUGGACAGACAGACGGACAGACGGACUGACUAACAGACUGACAGAUGGACAGAAGAACAGAUGGAUGGACUGAAUAACCAACCAACUGACUGACUGAUUGAUUGACUUGGAAAUGGACGGACUGGUCAAUUGCCUGAUUGAUUGACUGACGGACUGAUGGAUUGUCUAAUUUACUGACUGACUCACUGACUGUCAGACAGGCUGACUGACUGGCUGGCUAAUGAACUAAACAGAGUGACUGACUAGUGGAUGGUCUAAUUGACUGACUGCCUGACUAACUGCUUGACUAACUGACUGACAGGGAGAUGAACUGACCAAAAGAUUGACUGACUGGGACUGACAGACUAACGGCCAAGUGACUGACUGAUUGACUGACAGACAGACAGACUGAUCA